rnacentral:rRNA from 1 species
GACGAACGCUGGCGGCGUGCUUAACACAUGCAAGUCGAACGGAAAGGCCUGCUUUCCCUUGUGGAUUGCGGGUGCUCGAGUGGCGAACGGGUGAGUAACACGUGAGUGACCUGCCCCCAACUUGGGUAUAAGCCUGGGAAACUGGGUCUAAUUCCCGAUAGGACUGCAGGGUGGUGCCUGUGGUGGAAAACGAUUUUCUAGUGGUUGGGGAUGAGCUCGCGGCCUAUCAGCUUGUUGGUGGGGUAAUGGCCUACCAAGGCGGCGACGGGUAGCCGGCCUGAGAGGGUGGACGGCCACAUUGGGACUGAGAUACGGCCCAGACUCCUACGGGAGGCAGCAGUGGGGAAUAUUGCACAAUGGGCGGAAGCCUGAUGCAGCGACGCCGCGUGGGGGAUGACGGCCUUCGGGUUGUAAACUCCUUUCGACCGCGAGGAAGCCACCUGGUUGGAAGGGUGGUGACGGUAGUGGUAGAAGAAGCACCGGCUAACUACGUG